GUCCUCUCACAACGGCUUCCUGACGUGACGAGGUUAACCCAAUGGAGCA
rfam:Roseobacter sp. MedPE-SWchi Roseobacter-sp-MedPE-SWchi-C2, whole genome shotgun sequence.